GACGAACGCUGGCGGCGUGCCUAAUACAUGCAAGUUGAGCGAUGAAGCUUGGUGCUUGCACCAAUUUGAAGAGCAGCGAACGGGUGAGUAACGCGUGGGGAAUCUGCCUUUGAGCGGGGGACAACAUUUGGAAACGAAUGCUAAUACCGCAUAACAACUUUAAACAUAAGUUUUAAGUUUGAAAGAUGCAAUUGCAUCACUCAAAGAUGAUCCCGCGUUGUAUUAGCUAGUUGGUAAGGUAAAGGCUCACCAAGGCGAUGAUACAUAGCCGACCUGAGAGGGUGAUCGGCCACAUUGGGACUGAGACACGGCCCAAACUCCUACGGGAGGCAGCAGUAGGGAAUCUUCGGCAAUGGACGAAAGUCUGACCGAGCAACGCCGCGUGAGUGAAGAAGGUUUUCGGAUCGUAAAACUCUGUUGGUAGAGAAGAACGUUGGUGAGAGUGGAAAGCUCAUCAAGUGACGGUAACUACCCAGAAAGGGACGGCUAACUACGU
rnacentral:rRNA from 1 species